AAGCCCCGGCACCUUAUGCUUAGGUGUUNUCUCAGACUUGCACUCUGAUNCUUUCCCGGAG
rnacentral:tRNA from 1 species